UUUUCCUCGUCUUCAUAGAGAGCUUGGGCUGGGUCAGGAGCUCCAUCAAAACUGUCUUUAGUUGAUUAUUUUAAGAUUAUGCUGGGAUUUUGGUGAGAUUGGGAUUUUUCCAAACAACUAUCUCCAGGAUCUUGAAGAAGAUAGGAUAGAGCGGCAGAAGAACACAAUGGCUGCCACCACUGGGAGCUAAGGAAACUGAGUUGCAAGGAGGUUGAUGUCCUAUUCUAGUGCAACUGACCAGUAAGAAGAAGGACGCGCUUUCAUGUAGUUAUGUGAUGAAACAAAAACAACGGUGUCUAAAGAGGAGGCUAGAAAAGACACAUAUUUGCAGAAACUGUAACAGACCAGCAAAGGAAUCAACCGGAGGAUGAGCAGCACCUAAUCUAUCAGACCGAGAUGAGAUUCACUACUUUUGCUGACAAAAAAAUCCAUAACAUCCAGCAUCCAUAUGAUUGAAAUUAGACUGUAAGUGAUAUCAUCUAGCAAGGAUGGAAGUAACCUAAUGAAUGAUUC